GAUGAACGCUAGCGGCAGGCCUAAUACAUGCAAGGCGAAGGGGCAGCAAUGUCACUGUCGUACGGGUGCGUAACGCGUAUGCAACCUACCUAUCACAGGGGAAUAGCCUUUGGAAACAGGGAUUAAUACCGCAUAAAGCAGGGACACCGCAUGGUGAUAUUGCUAAAGAUUUAUCGGUGAUAGAUGGGCAUGCGUCUGAUUAGUUAGUUGGCAGGGUAACGGCCUACCAAGACGAUGAUCAGUAGGGGGCGUCAGAGCGUGGUCCCCCACACUGGCACUGAGAUACGGGCCAGACUCCUACGGGAGGCAGCAGUAGGGAAUAUUGGGCAAUGGAUGCAAGUCUGACCCAGCCAUGCCGCGUGCAGGAAGAAGGUCCUCUGGAUUGUAAACUGCUUUUAUCGGGGAAGAAUAGUUUUCUUGCGAGGGAAUGUGACGGUACCCGAUGAAUAAGCCACGGCUAACUACGUGCCAGCAGCCGACGG
rnacentral:rRNA from 1 species